rnacentral:ncRNA from 1 species
CAAAAGUUUUAUUCUAAUUUAAAAAUUAAGUACAUUUUGAUUUUACAUGUAAAUUUUAGUAUAAUUAAUAAAGAAUUUAAAUAAUUAAAAAUAGUUUUAUACAGUAAAAAAAUUUAAAUAUUAAUGAAAAUUAGAUUUAGAUAAAAUUUAUAAUAUUGACAAAAUUUGUGCCAGCAGUUGCGGUUACACAAAUAAUAUAAUUUAAUUUGUUUAGUUUUAAUUAAUUUAUAAAUUAUUAGAUUUUUAAUAUAAAUUUAUUAGGUGAAAUUUUAAUUUUAUAAAAAAAUUUAUUUUUAUUAAUGAAGUUAAGAAAUUUGUUUUAUAAACUAGGAUUAGAUACCCUAUUAUUAAUAAUAUAAAUAUAAAAAGCUAGAUUAUUAUUAGUUUAUGAUCUUUAAAUUUAAAGAUUUUGGCGGUAUUUUAGUCUAUUCAGAGGAACCUGUUCUAUAAUUGAUAGUCCACGAUAACAAUUACUUUUUUUUAGUUUACAUAUCGUCGUAGUUUGAAUAUUUUAAAAGAAAUUUAAUAUUCAGGAUUUUUUAUGAAAAUAAAUCAGAUCAAGGUGUAGCAUAUAUAAAAGAAGAAAUGGGUUACAAUAAAUUUAUUUAAAAGGAUUUAAAUUUUAAAAUUUUAAUGAAUUUGGAUUUGAUAGUAAUUUUUAUUAUUUUAUAAAAAUGAUUUAAGCUCUAAAAUAUGUACAUAUUGCCCGUCGCUUUCACUAUAAAGUGAAAUAAGUCGUAACAAAGUAGAUUUACUGGAAAGUGUAUCUAGAAAGAU